rnacentral:lncRNA from 1 species
AUGUUCGACGGGUUUAAUGCUACAAGCAUCAUCAUUUCACUUCUUAAGUGGUUUAAGCACUGUCAAAUGCACAAACCUGCGUUAAUGGAACAGAGUCAGCACCGUCCCCACACCUUAGUGAAGGCCCAUGGCAGACAUUUAAGAAACAUCUGCCAUGGCCACGGGAUUGAGACGGCAUGUGUCGUUGUGGUUAGCGUGACUGCCCCAAUAACUGGAGGAAACAAAGGCCUGUUAGUGAUCAUGUUUAUCGCAGUAAACCAGCUGCUUAAGUCUGUCGUUAUGGAGGAUCAGAGUGUGUACCAAUCAGUCAUGAAUCUUCAGACUGGGGCGGUAAAAUACAACAUCAUUCUAUAGAGCCAUGGAGUGUUUUGUGAUAUGAACGUCAACAUACCAUGAUGAUCCAGAUCUGUUUUAAGGACACCAGGGUAGCAGAUGAACACUGGACCAGUCUAGGAACCCUAGAACGAAAAAGGUAGCAACACCUUAAUAAAGCCCCAUACGUCUGCAUGACACCCAGGUUCAUAGAGACACCAUUCAGACGGUUGCAACCACAACAGGUUAUCCCCUUGCUGCCUUGGCACCAGUGGGUUCACCUUCUCAGGUUCUGGCGUUGACCCAAGGCGUAAGACAUGUGGGGGUGUCAUCAUUAAGGAGACUAAUUGCAUUCAAAUUACAGCCAUUAAGCAACACCCAGUCUCUUCACACCCACCUUGGUUAGAGUAGAAGUAGUCUCUGAACACCAUCGCCAAGACACCUAAAGCAAAAUGAGAUGGUUAGGCUUUGACAGAAAUGGUCCCAUUAAUCCAGCAGAUUACCUAGGCCUGAGUCAGGUUAGGUUUCUCAUCAGUAAUUCAGACGAACGAGAUUCUAAUUUAUGAUCAUCAUUUCAAGCCGACUGAUACUUUUUUAUUUAUUUUUACAAAUACGAAUCCUCACCUUUAAUUAUGGGCGGUCUUCAAACUAGGACAAUCUCACCACACCAUCAACUCCCAUGUCCUCCAUCAACUCCCAUGUCUGUUGGCAGAAAUAGAUAUAAGCAACUUUCCAAUAUAGUCAACACUCAAUAUGGGGUCUGAAGAUUCUCAGUAAGUUUGUAUAGUUUCACAUCGGUUCAAAGUGAGCUAGGUUUAACGUUAUUGAAACACGGUAAAGCAAGGGUACAAGCAUUAAGAUCUUGUGGGACUCGCCUCAACAAUGGCCUCCAUUGGACUAACUGGCCGAAGUCCAGGUUUGUGGAGCUAGUUCACAUUACCACCUGCAGAGAGAACUUGUCGUUAGCCACACGUCUAGAAACCGUAGUUCAAGAUGAAAAGGUCCCAUCAAGGUUGGUCAGAUUAAAAGUUGGCAUCAAUAUAAAUCAGCCAUAUGCUUGUCUAUUGGAUAAUCAUCACUUCAACCCCUCAUUUUAUUCCAUUAGUGAAAAAACUGAACACUCACCAGUCAACUAUGCAGCCAUCAUCCUUUUUCUGUCCAUACUGACUGAGAAAAAUGAGAUUUUAAAAUCACAUCAAGUCUAACUGAACAGAGUUGAGCUCCAUUGGGUUACUCAGAAUCUGGUAAAGAAGUUUCUUCAAAGUGUGACUCGGUAAAAGCGUUGAAGAUCAUCAUUGUAGCGCUGACAUGGUCAAAUACUAGCCAACUCCAAUAUCUUAAUUACCUCGUAUUUUAGCCUUCAUUGCUCCACCUAUGUAGAGAAAGAAACAGUGUUAAACACUAUAUUCUCCAAAAUACAUUAUGAUCUCAAGCAUACAUUUUGCUACUCAGAAUAUUUUUCGUUUUCCACAAAAUGUUCAGUGAGAGAGUUCAAUAGCAUCACGGUAGGAGUCAAGCUAGGUUCAUGGACGACCACUUCAAAGCCCACUUAACCCGUUAAAAACUUCAAUAUACCUUUGUAGUGAGCAGUAAGGCAGUGUUCCUCUUCCACCUGAGAACCUAAAACAGAAAGAACAGAUUAGCGCGUAGCAGACUCCAUUGGUUCUGGCACAGCCCAACACGUGCUAGGCCGAUUGAGUCCCACGAUGUCUUCGUCAGGUUUAUGCAGAGAACUGAGCGGCGAGUGUCUCCAUUCAGAAUAAAUAUGGUGCAUUCACAGUCAUUCAGAACAGGUCUGUGAAAGUUAUCAUCACUUGGAGACAGCGCCAAUAGCAGCGACGGCGUUUCACAACGCUAUUAUUCAGUAGAUUACACACGAGCAUGCCAAGAAAAUAACCUGACAAAACCACAACGCAGAUUUUGAAAUAUUAAACAUGAUUGCAUCGGUCACCGGUUAAUGUAUGUGGAGGUUAUAAACACAAAAUUUACUUUCAACUCCGUUAGAAGGCGAACCAACUUAUUAAUUACGUCUUGAUCACCAUCAAACAUGCAUGUGAUCAUGAUUAACAGUUAACCAGCUGCUUAGUCUGUCAUUAUGGCGGAUCAGAGUGUGUAACAAUCAGUCAUGAAUCAUCAGACUGGGGCGGUAAAAUGCAACAUCAUUCUAUAGCACCAUGGAGUGUUUUGUGAUAUGAACGUCAACAUACCAAGAUGACCCAGAACUGGGUUUGAGGACGCCAGUCACAGGUCAAGUCUAGGUCCUAGGAAAGCAACAGACAAAAUGCAGGAACUCUUCAGAGGCCAUUUAAGUUGUUCAUACGCAAAAAAACAUUUGACAUCAUGAUCAGAUUUUUUCUCAGUCAUUUGCACAACUAGACCCUCCCACGGGAUUCCAAGAGGUCACCUUACACCUGAUACAGGGUUCUCAGUGCCGUCAAGGGCCAAGGGGGAGGUACGAGGCUCUAGAUUGCACAUGUUCGACGGUUUUAGUGCAUCAUACAUCAUCAUUUCACUUCUUUAGUGGUUGAAGCACUGUCAAAUGCACAAACCUGCGUUAAUGGAACAGAGUCAGCACCGUCCCCACACAUUAGUGAAGGCCCAUGGCAGACAUUUAAGAAACGUCUGCCAUGGCCACGGGAUUGAGGCAGCGUGUGACGUUAUGGUAAACGUGACCAUCCCGAACAUCCACAUGACCAGAAUCUGAUGGAAAGAAAGGCUGUUAGUGAUAACGUGGAUCAAAGUAAACCAGCAGUUUAUGUCCGUAGUUAUGGAGGAUCAGAGUGUGUACCAAUCAGUCAUGAAUCUUCAGACUGGGGCGGUAAAAUGCAACAUCAUUCUAUAGAGCCAUGGAGUGUUUUGUGAUAUGAACGUCAACCUACCAAGAUGAUCCAGAUCUGGGUUUGCAGACGCAAGUGUGGCAGAUCACUGGACCAGUCUAUCGCAGAGGAACCCUGGAGAUUAAAAAAAAAGAAGCAAAACCUUAAUAAGGCACUUCAAGUCUUAUGCAUGACAAAGUUCUAUAGAGACACCAUUCAGACAGUUGCAACCACAACAGGUUAUCCCCUUGCUGCCUUGGCACCAGUGGGUUCACCUUCUCAGGUUCUGGCGUUGACCCAAGGCGUAAGACAUGUACGGGUGUCAUCAUUAAUGAAACUAAAUGCAUUCAAAUUACAGCCAUUAACAACGGCAUACAUGCAGCACAGGGCUCCAGACUGACCAACUGGUCGCACUUUGCGACUUCAGUUUGAGUGCGAAUGAAUUUUACAUCUGGUCACGCGUGUGCGUCCAGUAAAUUUGCCCUUUUUUAUUUUAACACGUUACACGUGGAAGGGAUGCGACGAUAAAUCCGAUAUCUGGAGCAGGCCAAAGAGCGUGAGAAGGAUGGGGAAUGGCCACCGUUAGUGGCCAAUGUUAGGAGGAGGAGGGUCUUAGAACCACCUAAAUCGAACAUGCCUAAACGUCCAAGAAGGAGAACAAUUCAAUACCUGCUACGUGGGUUUGAACAAUGAGCAAGCCAACUAUUGACUAGUUCUUCCGACCUGCGGCUACUGUACUCCAAUGCCAGUGAGAGUCCUGCAAGGGGUCUUAAUUUGCAAAUCAGUGUCCACCCGAACCCGCAAUAUUUAAAUCCGCAUCGGACCCUUGUUCCGACAGCUGCACGAAUUACAUUCCACACCCGACCUGCUAUAAACUGAUACAGACGCCCGACUCGCACCCGAAGGAAAAUUAGACGCAUUAGAUGGAACGUCAGGGAAUUACACCAUCUGGUGUUUGGCGCGGUGCUUCAUAUUGCUGUGCAAAAAGUCACAUCAUCCAAGUGUGAUGGUUUUAGUUGACUCCUCCGCUCCUGAAAAACAUAUCGAGCACCGGAGAAGUCUC